UCCGCCCCUUCCCCGAGGACUGCGGCAGGGGUCGGGCGCCCUCCACUCACGGGCCGCGGUAAGUGCAGCGACCCCGCCCCAGCCCGCUCAGUGCCGCCGGCUCCCAGCCGCGCCCCUGACAGACAGCCCCAGCUGUGUUGUAUUUGGAAGAUGAAGCUGCUACAUGAUUUGGCAAGGAGAGAAUUAGCCAGAAGGCAGACUGCAUUUGUCACAACGGAUCUGAGAUUCUAGAGACCACUCCUGUCACUGGAAGGGUCCUACUGUAUUGACACAUUGUGUCCAGGAUGAACCUACAGUGUUAUUUUUCUAAUUUUUACUCAUUGACAUCAAAGUCACUUUCAAACCAUUGAUUCUAUUCUUCAGUCUCAUGUUCUGCAUUUUUUCUCUCUUCUAUUUAUGCAGGAACAUUUUUAAAUCCUUCCACUUCUCUCUUUUGUCUUUGUCAACUCUCUCCUGAGUGUCUUGAUUUCUUCAUGCUAUGACAAGAUGAAUCAUAGCUAUGGUUACGUAAGGAUUUGUAUUGCUAGUUAAACUGGCUCAAUUGCUUGCCAUUUGUAAUAACAGUAGGAACUUUGGAGUAGGAACUAAAGUUAUGCAUACUGUUGUAUGCUGGGGGGGGAAUUAGUCUUACCAGUAGAAGCACAUCAUUGCUUGCACUGGGAGCCAGGCAGGCAAGCCAGCAUAACCUAUCUGUACAGUUCUCAGCAACAAGUUAAAUAAAGUGUUUACUGUUAUUUAAAAA